rnacentral:snoRNA from 9 species
UGACUGGUGAUGAUUCAGGUCCGAAAGGAUCUUAGCAUAUUUCUGUGACGCGGAUUCAUCCGCCAUUGAUCGAUUCAUGUUUUUACACAGACUGAAGCCU